GUGAACGCUGGCGGUAGGCCUAACACCUGCAAGUCGAACGGCAGCACAGUAAGAGCUUGCUCUUACGGGUGGCGAGUGGCGGACGGGUGAGGAAUACAUCGGAAUCUACUUUUUCGUGGGGGAUAACGUAGGGAAACUUACGCUAAUACCGCAUACGACCUACGGGUGAAAGCAGGGGAUCUUCGGACCUUGCGCGAUUGAAUGAGCCGAUGUCGGAUUAGCUAGUUGGCGGGGUAAAGGCCCACCAAGGCGACGAUCCGUAGCUGGUCUGAGAGGAAGAUCAGCCACACUGGAACUGAGACACGGUCCAGACUCCUACGGGAGGCAGCAGUGGGGAAUAUUGGACAAUGGGCGCAAGCCUGAUCCAGCCAUACCGCGUGGGUGAAGAAGGCCUUCGGGUUGUAAAGCCCUUUUGUUGGGAAAGAAAAGCAGCAGGUUAAUACCCCGCUGUUCUGACGGUACCCAAAGAAUAAGCACCGGCUAACUUCGUG
rnacentral:rRNA from 1 species